rnacentral:ncRNA from 1 species
GACAGUGACCAAGCUCUGGGUCGCUGCCCGGCUUGCCGUGUCAGCGCUAAGAGGGAAUCCGGUGCACCGUCUUUUUGCGGCAAGUCCGGAGCUGCCCCCGCAACUGUCGGCGGUGAGCGCCUUUUCCACGACGUCACUGGUGAAAACCGGGAAGACGGAAAAGGGGCUUUGACCCGCAAGCCAGGAGACCUGCCCGAGCAAAGCGUGUCCU